rnacentral:rRNA from 1 species
AGGUGCGAUCAUACCAGCACUAAUGCACCGGAUCCCAUUAGAACUCGGCAGUUAAGCGUGCUUGGGCAAGAGUAGUACUAGGAUGGGUGACCUCCAAGGAAGUCCUCGUGUUGCACCUC